rnacentral:rRNA from 1 species
GAUGAACGCUAGCGGCAGGCCUAAUACAUGCAAGUCGAACGGGAUCCAGAUCAAAGCUUGCUUUGGUCUGGUGAGAGUGGCGCACGGGUGCGUAACGCGUGAGCAACCUACCCUUGUCAGGGGGAUAGCCCGGCGAAAGUCGGAUUAAUACCGCAUGACAUCAUUGAGAGGCAUCUUUCGAUGAUCAAAGAUUUAUCGGACAAGGAUGGGCUCGCGUGACAUUAGCUAGUUGGUAAGGUAACGGCUUACCAAGGCUGCGAUGUCUAGGGGCUCUGAGAGGAGGAUCCCCCGGACUGGUACUGAGACACGGACCAGACUCCUACGGGAGGGAGCAGUAAGGAAUAUUAGUCAAUGGACGGAAGUCUGAACCAGCCAUGCCGCGUGCAGGAGGACGGGCCUAUGGGUUGUAAACUGCUUUUAUACGGGAACAAACGUCGGUACGUGUACCGGUCUGAGUGUACCGUAAGAAUAAGGAUCGGCUAACUCCGUG